UUUUCGCAAUGCCCGAAAGGGUGACGAAGCGACGCCGCGUGGGUGAGGAAGGCCCUCGGGUUGUAAAGCCCUGUCAGGAGUUAAGAAAUGUAGGUACGCUAAUAUCGUGCUUAUUUGACAAAGGCUCCAAAGGAAGCCACGGCUAACUCUGUGCCAGCAGCCGCGGUAAUACAGAGGUGGCAAGCGUUGUUCGGAAUUAUUGGGCGUAAAGAGCACGUAGGUGGAUUUGUAAGUCAGAUGUGAAAGCCUUCUGUUCAACGGGAGAAUUGCAUCUGAAACUACAAACCUUGAGUGUAGGAGGGGAGAAUGGAACUUCUGGUGGAGCGGUGAAAUGCGUAGAUAUCAGAAGGAACGCCGGCGGCGAAAGCGAUUCUCUGGCCUAUUACUGACACUCAGUGUGCGAAAGCUAGGGGAGCAAACGGGAUUAGAUACCCCGGUAGUCCUAGCCGUAAACGAUGGGCACUAAGUAGAGGGGUUUUA
rnacentral:rRNA from 1 species